rnacentral:rRNA from 1 species
UUUCCAGACUCCUACGGGAGGCAGCAGUGAGGAAUAUUGGUCAAUGGGCGGGAGCCUGAACCAGCCAAGUCGCGUGAGGGAAGACGGUCCUAUGGAUUGUAAACCUCUUUAGGCGGGGAGCAAUGCCGGGCACGCGUGCCCGGAGGGAGAGUACCCGCAGAAUAAGCAUCGGCUAACUCCGUGCCAGCAGCCGCGGUAAUACGGAGGAUGCGAGCGUUAUCCGGAUUUAUUGGGUUUAAAGGGUGCGUAGGCGGAUUUUUAAGUCAGCGGUAAAAUCGCGGGGCUCAACCUCGGUCCGCCGUUGAAACUGGCGUUCUUGAGUGGGCGAGAAGUAUGCGGAAUGCGUGGUGUAGCGGUGAAAUGCAUAGAUAUCACGCAGAACUCCGAUUGCGAAGGCAGCAUACCGGCGCCCAACUGACGCUGAAGCACGAAAGCGUGGGUAUCGAACAGGAUUAGAUACCCGCGUAGA